GAUGAACGCUGGCGGCGUGCCUAAUACAUGCAAGUAGAACGCUGAAGGAGGAGCUUGCUCUUCUGGAUGAGUUGCGAACGGGUGAGUAACGCGUAGGUAACCUGCCUGGUAGCGGGGGAUAACUAUUGGAAACGAUAGCUAAUACCGCAUGACAACAGUUAUUGCAUGAUAACUGUUUAAAAGGGGCAACUGCUCCACUACCAGAUGGACCUGCGUUGUAUUAGCUAGUUGGUGAGGUAACGGCUCACCAAGGCGACGAUACAUAGCCGACCUGAGAGGGGGAUCGGCCCCACUGGGACGGAGACACGGCCCAGACUCCUACGGGAGGCAGCAGUAGGGAAUCUUCGGCAAUGGACGGAAGUCUGACCGAGCAACGCCGCGGGAGUGAAGAAGGUUUUCGGAUCGUAAAGCUCUGUUGUAAGAGAAGAACGAGUGUGAGAGUGGAAAGUUCACACUGUGACGGUAUCUUACCAGAAAGGGACGGCUAACUACGUG
rnacentral:rRNA from 1 species